rnacentral:sRNA from 1 species
GGAGGAGGUUGGUUGGUGUUCAUGGAGCCAGUGUCAACUGCCUGUCUGUUACGAGAUGUCACAGCACAACCAGGUUAUUCACAUCGAACUCCUUUGAUGU